CAGGAGAAGAACGCAACGAAGAAGAAGAGAAAUCUUAGUGGCUGCAUGCUGGUCUUCUCUUCCUCAUUAGCUGCGUCUCAUUUCCUUGGCCUACCUCCUGCAACAAACAGACGAGGAAGAUGAAAAGCCGGAAGAGAAGCUCGUGAGAUCUCGAGUUCUGCAACAGCUAAUGAACAGAGUUAAACGACUACAAACUUUGGACACACUCAAAGAGACAUGGAUUAAUGGAGAACAUACUCCGACAUCAAACAUGGAGAGGGCAUGCAUGCUAAAGCCUAUUUUGCAAGUAUAUGUUUAAUCUCUUCUGCUGUGUGAGUUGCAGGGAAUGAGAGAAUCGAGAGCUCCCAUGACCUUUGUCCCUACUGCAAGUCAAAAGCCACACAACCCUUUGGGGUCAGCUUUGCUGUCGGGGGAACUGUCUUCUGAGAACUGUGUCAGAUCAACCAAACCCUAAUAUCAUAUCAACCCUCAGGUAGAAGGGUUACCGAGCUAAAGACAAUGAACAGUUCUCCAUGGAAGAUGACAUGGGAAUCUCUCCAUGUUAUGUCGUGCUGCCGUGAGAAGGAUAACACCUCAUCCCUGUGUUAUUUUAUGGGCUGAGCAAGGUGGUGGGAAGUUCGACUUGGCCAUUGGCAGCAGGGAAAGGGAGGGGGUGGAAGAGAAGAGGCAUCAAUGUGCAAUCAUGGAGAGGUGUCCACCCACUGCACUACCUACGGUCACAUGCAACAACACAUGGUCAGGGUUGGCAUCCAAAUGGGUGAGGGGAAGGGGGAGGCCAUGUGAGGCUCUCCUCCUCUGCAUCUUCUUCCCCAUGCUGUUUGGCCAUUAUUGAGCAUCAUCAUCCUCCUAUCUCUAUGUUGGCCAUGUGAGUUUUCGCAUGGAGCACAGCCAUGAGAGUUUGCUUUUCCAGCCCACUUAAGCUUCAGUGUUUGAGCAAUUUGGCAGGUACUGAUGAUAAUAAUUGUUGGUUAAUUAGCUGUGGAAAAGGAGAGAGAGAGAGAGAGAGAGAGAUUCGCUUCUCCUUCUCUACAAAUCUAUAUCUUGAAGACCAUCUGUUUAUGUUGUAGAAGAAAUCUAAAGAACUUGUCAAAAGUAAUACAAAAAAAAGAUAUUUUGGCAGAGAUAUCAAUAUGUUUCUGUGGGAGUUUGUGCAUA